rnacentral:rRNA from 1 species
UACGAAGGGGGCUAGCGUUGCUCGGAAUCACUGGGCGUAAAGCGCACGUAGGCGGCUUUUUAAGUCAGAGGUGAAAUCCUGGAGCUCAACUCCAGAACUGCCUUUGAUACUGGAGAGCUUGAGUCCGGGAGAGGUGAGUGGAACUGCGAGUGUAGAGGUGAAAUUCGUAGAUAUUCGCAAGAACACCAGUGGCGAAGGCGGCUCACUGGCCCGGUACUGACGCUGAGGUGCGAAAGCGUGGGGAGCAAACA